CUAGCUCCUUACACUUUGCUUCUGAUGCAUUCUUUUCCAAGUCUUGAAUGGUGCCAUUUUGGGGUGUUGAGUUUCUUGGUUCAUUACUUGUAAGUGAAGCAGAACUGUUAUUUUCCAACAUGUUUUCCUUCUUGAUUGAUCGUCUUCCUCAGCCACAAAUGAUGUUGUUAUGCUCACCAGUGGGAAUAUGGUGAUCCUUGAAGCUUGAUUGAAUAUUGCAACAGACACUCCAACAGCCGCAAGCUCAACAGCUCCUGCAGAAACCAAGUUAAAGUUGUUCUUUGUCAAUGAUAUUACAAACCACUAAAUUGGUUCGACAUUGCAAUGAAGAGAAAGCAAUAAAUGCAUAGUAUAUACCAAUAUGUCCGACAAAAAUGGUGUCGAUAAGAGAAGCAAUGGGAUCAGCGGCAACAGCUAGAGCAGCUGGAAAUGCAAUUCCAAGGAUCUCUUUUCCAAGUUCAUCCCAUUUGAAAACAAGUCUGAAAUAAUAUUUCUCUGAAUCAGUAACAAAUCAAAGAGCCAUCCAAGAAGCAAAAGAUCGUGGCAACGAAGAAAGAGAAAAUGGAGGACAAAGUUAUAUACCUUGAAUCCUUGAAGAAAACAUUCAUAGGCAUUUUCCACUUGUUCUUUUUUGUCACUAAACCAACCUCAUUUUCCAUAGUUCAGUUUUUCUUUUCCUAACUAAGUUCUUGAUCUUUUUUAUAUAGCAAUCAGCUAGCCACUCUGUCUGUGUCUCUUUAAGUGCACAGAGAAGCAAUAUUUGAAAUCUGCAGACUGAGUGAUUAUGAAGCAAAACUUCAGUUACAACUACAGAAAAACAUGCAAAACACAAAACAAAGGAAUUGAUGAAACGCAUGGAAGCUCUCUCUCCUGCUCACAUGGUGAUGGUGAAUACAACAAUAUAUUGCUGCAGUUUUUUUUUUUUUUUUUAUCAACUUUAAGGAAUCUACACGCCAUGGUGACGAAGAACAAACAUGUCCAUUAAGGUGAAUACUAUGCAAAGGAUUGGAGAGAUAUUGAGAUGAAAAGGCAAUUUGUGCAUUGCUCAUGGAAAGGUAUGUGCUUUAUAUACUGAUUUUGCUGUACGAGCUUUGGAAUAAAAUGGUCUCAUUAUUAUUAGUUACAAACUUACAAUCAAAAGCUUUGGAA